ensembl:miRNA gga-mir-12295 gga-mir-12295
AACGGGACGGGGCGGGACGGCGCUCCUGCUGCCCUGCGCUGCCCGCCCCAUCCCGACCC